CUCUGUUUUCUUUGCAGCCAAUUACAGAUGCUCCAGUUCUUGGACUCCCUGUUGGCGUACCUCCCUGCUUCUUGCUCCGUCCAGCUGGUCAAAGGUAUAAGAGACCUUCUGUGUUCAAACGCGCUCUUUUGUCUGUCGCCGCGGCUUCUGCGUGCUGUUCAGUGGGAGACGGAGAUCACUUUCAUCCUGGAGUGAGAAACUGUUUGUGUUAUGAAUAAAGACAGCAGAUGAUGGCAGUGCAAAGCUUCAUACAUCUGCUCAUAGGCUGCAGUUGACUGAAAGCUUUUAGUGGUACUUUCCCUCAUGGUUCGGUUGUUUUGAUGGGGAAUGAUGUAAAGGGGAAAAAAAGUUCACGGAGGCUGUUUCUCCUGUGACGCUGCACAACCUGUUAGUGCUGUGUUUACAACGGCAUCCAUCCAAAAAAGCAUCAAAUGAUAUUUAAAGCAACCUCCACUUUGCUAGAUACAAAAAGUCUGCGGCAGCUUGACCAGUAGUGUUGGCUGAAAUGGAUGUCAAGGGCUUUUUUUCCCCUCCCAGUGGGAAACCAAUUUAGUUUGUUCUGAGAGCUCUACCAUCUGUUUGUAUUACUCAGUCUAAGGAGAGAUAAAUUCCCCAUCUUUUACACCUUUAAUGUCUCUGCUUCAUUGGGCAUAACUGCUACCACUGGACUCAUUGCCACAGGACUGCUCUAAUAGCUGAAGCAAAAUACUUCAAAAUUUCCUAUUUUCAUGAGUGGUUUCUAUUGUGUUACUUUGUGUUGGUAAUACCGCUGUGGGUUAAUGAAAUGUUACAGAAGUAGGAAGUCUAUUUUUGUCAUGUUGGCGUGUAAAUAAAGCUCCAGUUUGCGGCUCUGUUCGCGAGCUCAACUUCAGCCACUACGCAAGCUGAUCACACACGAGCACUUUUCCUUUCUGCUGCUUUAAUCCCUCACAUGCAGAAAACGCCCUCCUCCCCUUUUGGCUGCGAUACCAACACCUCUGUCACUUCUUGCACCGAGGAAGACUUUUGACUCCCGCACAGUAAAUAACACCAGAAAAUGGCCAGGGGGAAAUGAAUCACAUGUGGAAGGGACAAUUCAAUUGCAUUGGUGUUCCCUUAGAGCCCAGACUGCCACCACCCCAAUAAAAUAUAUGGUUUGUCAUCCCAUUAUUGCCUGUUAACUUCUAUUUACCCUGAAUGGUGGAAGAAGACUGCAGGGUUUCUACCCUCUGCUGAAGCCCCCCUCACCUAAGUGGUGAAUGAAGACGCAUCAGAUAAAUAAUGCUGUUGCUGUGAAACAUCUCACACACAGAGAAAAGAAAGUCUACAUCCUGUCUAGUUUAUUAGCGCACUUGACAGAUCCUUACAUUUUCUAACACCUGUACCAGCCUUUUAUUGUCACUUUAGUAUGGAAGCCUAUUUCUGCCCGGAUAACAAAACUAAUCAGCAAAAAACAAAAAGUUAUUCAUCAUAAAAAUGAUUAAUGGUAAGUCAGAUGUAUGAGAUAGAAGCAAAUUAGCACAUAAUCAGCCAAAAACAAUUACGUAAAAUCAAAAUAUAAUUAACAAUUAGUUUUUAAUCGCACAAUUUUGCUUAAAGCCAGAGUACUGGACCUAUACAUAUGAAUGAACGCCUGUUUUGUUGAAGUCCCUGCCAAAGGGAGUUCGCACGAGUCAAAAAAGCCAAUCAGCAUCAGCUAACUAUACUCUCUACUGGAGUUUUAACUCUGGUUUCUGUGUCAACAUUCUCAUGCAGGAUCAAACAGCUAAGAUGGUUGGAAAAUCUGUUUGGUUUUUUUUUCUUCAGAUGCUUCAGACAAAAAAACUGAGUUAAGAGUAAAGAUUACAGUCAGAAAGCGAUCAGUGACGGGCAUAUGUCAUAAAUCUUUACCUAUAGAAUAAUUUUGUAAUUAAAAUUUUGGUUCACCAAAAGCAUCUUUAUGAUUCAUCAUGGCUAAUAUUUCAGUUCAAUUCAAGUUUUCUAAAAUAAACCUACACUACCAUAGAAUUAGCAGAAUAACACGUUUCUGAAUGCCGUCAUUUAUUAACUACAUCAGUAUUUUUAAAUUGUAUUCUAAUAGUUUGAUUUACAUUGAAAUUAAGCAUUUUAUCUCUUGCUUUGCUUUUUAGAAUACAGGUCUUUAAUAUAUACGUGUUUGCAUAUAUGACCCAACAUUUAACAGCAUCAGAGGGCAUUGUUAAGUUUAAAUGAAACUUAAUUCAACAGUGUAAUAAAGUUGAGAAUGAUAAACAGC